rnacentral:rRNA from 1 species
UUCCUACGGGAGGCUGCAGUGGGGAAUAUUGGACAAUGGGCGCAAGCCUGAUCCAGCCAUACCGCGUGGGUGAAGAAGGCCUUCGGGUUGUAAAGCCCUUUUGUUGGGAAAGAAAUCCUGUCGAUUAAUACUCGGUGGGGAUGACGGUACCCAAAGAAUAAGCACCGGCUAACUUCGUGCCAGCAGCCGCGGUAAUACGAAGGGUGCAAGCGUUACUCGGAAUUACUGGGCGUAAAGCGUGCGUAGGUGGUGGUUUAAGUCUGCUGUGAAAGCCCUGGGCUCAACCUGGGAAUUGCAGUGGAUACUGGGUCACUAGAGUGUGGUAGAGGGAUGCGGAAUUUCUUGUGUAGCAGUGAAAUGCGUAGAGAUCAGAAGGAACAUCCGUGGCGAAGGCGGCAUCCUGGGCCAACACUGACACUGAGGCACGAAAGCGUGGGGAGCAAACAGGAUUAGAUACCCCAGUAGUCAC